UCAAUGUAUGCAUCAGAAUUGAUCGUUCGGUUUGGUGGUAAGAGUUCAAAGUAGUCAAUUCCUUUGUCAUCCCACGAAACUGAUAAGAAAACCUUCUUUCGAUGAAUAUCAGCUUUUGAUGUUGUUUGAGUUGGUUCACCUGGCCUGCUCCACGAUCUUUUCAGCUUGAUAUUGUUGGAAAUAAGCCAUUUUUCAUCGCCAGUUAUCAGUCGUUUUGAAAAUGGAUCAUUUUCAUUACGUUUCUUUAGCAAAUCGCAGUUGUUAAUGCGUUGCAUUAAAUUAUUAAAAUUCUUUCAGUUCGGGCCAUCAGCCUUCAGUUAUUGCCAUCAUCAACUUCAACCAGAACGAAAUUUGGCAAACCAAUUUUGACACUGCCGUUCUUUUAAGGCUUUGUCACCAUAAAAAGCACAUAACUUUUUAUGAGCUUGCGAUGCGGUUUUCCCUUUGCGGAAAUAAAAAAGCAAAAUAUGACGAAAAAGUUCCUUUUGAUUUUGCGUUUUUCACGCCAAACGAAAACUACUCAACCGAUCAAAAAACUUUUUUUUUACUUAUUGACAGCUGAAUUGCCAAUUAUCAAAUAACAAAAUGUGUUUUACAUUUGUACUACGUCUGCAAACCGAAAAAUCCCAUUGAACCAUCUGUAAAUGAAAUCCGUAAUUCCUUGGUUGCCAACCCAAUACAAUCUGCCACUAAUGGAAGAAAGCACGGCUUCUGCGAGAACAUUCUAGGAAGAAUCGAAAGGCACCUCACGCCAACUACAAAGAAACGAUACCAAGGCGCGCUGUUCAAUCAAAGCAGGAGGACGGAGAGCCGAUCGACGAAUAUAUUAAUCGGUUGCGCGGCUUGGUAAAACAUUGCGGCUUUGGUGAACUUGAGAACGAUCUAAUGCUGGAUAAAAUCAUUUGUUCGGUUAAAUCGAAUGCAUUACGUGAACAGCUGUGGGAAAAUGACGAAAUUACAUUAGAACAAGCCAUAAAAAAAUAUAAAGCAAAGGAAUUGGCAGAGAAGCAAAUUCAGGAAGUAGAAGACAAUAAGGCAGUUGAUUCACAAAAUGAAGUGAACGAAAUACCGCACAAAAGGAAAUCAAGCAAACAUAUGUAAACAAAACGAGAUGAAGACGUCGACUGCAAUUACUGUGGAUCGUAACAUGAAAGGAAUGAGAAAUAAUGCUCAGCGUUCGGAAAAGUCUGCGCAAAAUACGGUCUUCGAAAUCAUUUUGAAAAUUGCUGUAGAACUCGGAAACAGACGCGCAAGCGAGUGAACAAAAUUCAAGCAGAAGAAGAAAACAGCAGUAGCAACCGCGAAAGCAGUGACGAAUGCGUUUUGGAAAAAAAAGAGCAAUAAAAAUUUUUUCAAGUCAAAAAUGCUUAUCAAUGCGAGUUUGCAGAGAGAGAAAUACAAAGCUAUAGAAUGCCAGUUGGAUACUGGAGGAACGAUAUAUUUAAUAGGAAAGAAAUAUCUGAAAGAAAUUAUGAAUAACCGCAAACUGAUUGUCAAAAGAUCAUCGAUUCGUCUCAAAGCGUCUGGAAAUACUAUCUUUCCAUCAAUAGGGCAAAUACAGAUGGACUGCAAACACAAGAAAGAAAAGCAUCGAUUGACGUCCGAAAUCGUGGAGUAUUAUCACAUGCAAUUGUUGUUAUCCGGAGAAGCGUGCGUAAAGAUAGGCUCUAUAAGAAUGAGUAAUGCAAGACGCUCAUAAUGAGGCUAAACGGAUUGUUAAGAAUUUUAAUGACAUUUUUCAAUGUUUAGGUGAAUUUGAUGGUUAGGUGAAGUUGCAAAUCGACGAAGACAUGGCGCCGGUUAUACAGAAACCACGUCGCAUCGCAAUGGCGCUAAAUAAGGAGCAUAACAGAAACUCGGCGAAAUGGAAAAGUUGAAAGUCAUUUGCAAGGAGAGCGAACACCUGGAUCGAGUGAGUAACAUUUUGUUUGUCAAAAGAAAUAAUAAAUGUCGCAUAUGCCUAGCCCCUGUGAAUUGAAUAAAGCCUUGAAGGAUGUUAAGUAUAAAAUCCAAACAAUCGACGAAAUUUUACCUGAUCUAAAUGAUGCAAAGUUUUCUCGGCAGUUGACGCUAAAACAGGCUUCUGGCAAGUAAAGCUAGAUGAACCAAGUAGUAAGCUGUGCACAUUUUUUACGCCAUAUGAGAGAUAUAGAUUUUUGAGAAUGCCUUUUGGUAUAAAACUGGCGAUGGAAGUUUACCAAAUGACACAAAAGUUGUCCGGCCUGAAAGAAGUCGCAGUAAAGCUGAUGAAACAAUAAAAGAAGCCUUCAAAGAUCAUAACGAUAACUUGCAAAAUCUUUUUCAAAGACUGAGAGAAAAACAUUGUAAAUUUAACAGAGAAAAAAUGAACCUACAUAUGUACUCGUAAAACCGAACUAAAAUUUUUCAGGUAUAUUCUGUUAAAAAAUGGACUAAAAGCAGAUAAUGCAAAAAUUGAAGUGAUCAAAAGCAUGUCUACUCCAAAGGACGCAGAAAGCCUAUCCAAAUUUUUGGAUUAGGUGACUUAUCUAUCAAAAUUCAUACCAAACUUAUCGGAGAAAGCAUGCAAUUUACGAAAAUUAUCGCUCGAUUUUCAAAGAUUAAAGUCAGACAUUACAAGUACUCCGGUUUUAAUGUACUUCGAUACCAAUAAACCAGUCACAAUACAAGCCGAUGCAUCUGAUCAUGCACUUGGGGCAUGCUUAGUACAGGUUAAUCUACCGGUGGCAUAUGCUUCUAGAGUUUUGACAAAAACACAGCGAAAGUAUGCUCAAAUGGAAAAAGAGCUUCUGAGCAUAGAAUUCGCAUGGCGUAAGUUCGAUCAGUAUAUAUGCAGCAAAAAGGAUGUGAUAGUAGAAACCGCCAGAAACCAUCGGCCUGAAUAUGAAUCGUUACAAGGAGUCAACUUUCUGAUAUCCCAAAGCGAUUGCAGGAAAAGAAAUGCACAUUGCAGAUUUUCUCUCAAGAGCACCGGCAAACGAAAGCGAAAUCAAACGCCAAUAUGAGAUCUAUCAGUUGAAGCAGAAUGAAGACAAUUUCUUUUUCAAACUCGACGAAAUAAAUCCGGUCAAAAACCUAUGUGUAAGUGACGAACGUUUGGCACGCAUAACAGCGGAAACAAAAAACGAAAUCAUCCUGACAAAGCUCAUCAAAGUGAUAAAAAUUGGCUGGACGAGCGACGGCAUCAGCUGCCGAACGAGCUGAAGAUUUUUUGGGGCAGUCGCGACGAUUUAUCAGUUACAGUUUGGGAAACAGUUGCAGGGAACAGUUUACUGGCCCGGCAUCAAUUAUCAAUUGUCAAAUCGUAUCGAAAACUCCGAAACUUGUCUAAAGUUCGCUCCCAACCAACGAAAUCCACAAUGAAGUCGGGCAAGGUACCCAAAUAUCCUUUUCAACGUGUUUCAUAACAGCCGAUCAUUUCUAGGAUUUCUUUGAAAUAGACAGACUGCGUGAUCUUUCAUCGAACGCUGCCAUCAUAAUUUGUAAAAGAAAUUUCUCUCGCCAUGGGACUCCCAUACAAUGUGUGACGGAUGGCGCAACGAUGUUUACGUCAGAGGAGUUUAAAAGGUUCUGAAAGGAUUGGGAAUUCAUUCUUACUCACUUAAGCCCAAAACACCAACAAGGCAACGGCAAAAAAUAUCAGCAGAUUCCAGAACAGAUUUGUACAAAGCACUUCAGGAGUGGAGAAAUACACCAAACAAAACCAGUUUUUCAAAAGCAAAACGAUUUUUCUCUCGUUCGACCCGAAGCGGCGUUCCUUGUUCACACACUGAAUACUACCCAAAAGUUCCAGACCAAGUAAGGAAUAAAAUAGAGCAAAACAGACUCUCAGCAAAGCAACAAUACGUCAAAUACACGAGCAACCUGCCUGCCUUGAGGGUGGGUGACAAAAUAAUGACUAAAAUCGAUGCAAACGACGAUAAAUGGGUGAAUGCUACCAUUAAGAGCGUGGUGAAGCACCAUUUUUUUAUCACAACCAACAAACAAGCGCAACAUCGCCGAAGCCGAGUACACCUAAAACUUAUUCCAAACUCGAACACGAGUAAAUGACGGUCAUCAAACAGUAACUGUUGACACCGGCAGAGAAGCGUCCGUGGGUGUAAGCAUGGAGCAAAAAAUACCAGAUUCAGCAAAUACUGCACCUUAGGGAGGCAGUCCACCGUGAACUGCGGUACAACAACCGGCUCAAGAACAUACCGUGGAAAGGCCACCUUACAACUCAAAACGUCUGCGCAAGCUACCCAGGAAAUUUUAUGAAUGAGACGUUUAUAUGUGCACACGUUAUUUAAAUCUUUUUAUUUUUAAUAUCUAUCUAUUACUUUGGAGCACUCGAACUAUUAAAACCGUUAUAAUAAGGGGUUAUUAUAGGAUGAUUAUAUCAUAACAAGUGUGCAAAUUAAAAAAAAAAAUUGACAAAUUUUCAUCAAUUACAUCCGGUUCUGAGUCUUACAUAACGAAAACUCAGCUAAUCAAUACCCGCAUGUAAUAAUAAAAUAAUAAAAAAACGACCUGCGGUUUUUGUUGUUAAUGAAGCAUUGCUAUUUGUAAAAAGU